rnacentral:rRNA from 1 species
UACGAAGGGGGCGAGCGUUGUUCGGAAUUACUGGGCGUAAAGGGCGCGCAGGCGGCUCAGACAGUCAGAUGUGAAAGCCCCGGGCCUUAAACCUGGGAACUGCAUUUGAUACUACUGAGCUUGAGUACGGGAGAGGAUAGUGGAAUUCCCAGUGUAGAGGUGAAAUUCGUAGAUAUUGGGAAGAACACCGGUGGCGAAAGGCGGCUCGCUGGCCCGAA